AUUGAACGCUGGCGGAAUGCUUUACACAUGCAAGUCGGGCGGCAGCGCGGGGGCAACCCUGGCGGCGAGCGGCGAACGGGUGAGUAAUACAUCGGAACGUGUCCUUCAAGUGGGGGAUAGCUCGGCGAAAGCCGGAUUAAUACCGCAUAAGCUCUGAGGAGGAAAGCGGGGGACUGGUAACGGCCUCGCGCUGUUGGAGCGGCCGAUGUCGGAUUAGCUAGUUGGUGGGGUAAAGGCCCACCAAGGCGACGAUCCGUAGCUGGUCUGAGAGGAUGAUCAGCCACACUGGAACUGAGACACGGUCCAGACUCCUACGGGAGGCAGCAGUGGGGAAUUUUGGACAAUGGGGGCAACCCUGAUCCAGCCAUUCCGCGUGAGU
rnacentral:rRNA from 1 species